UCUUUCACAGUCCAGUGGUUAAGACUCUGCACUUCCACUGCAGUGGGUGUGGGUUCGACUCCUGGUCAGGGAA
rnacentral:tRNA from 1 species